AUGCAUGAAUUCAUGCAUCGGGCUUCUAGUAUAGAUUUAUAUAGAGAGACUAGAGGCCCAGUGCAAGAAAUUUGUGCACAG
rnacentral:pre_miRNA from 2 species